rnacentral:rRNA from 1 species
CAGGUUGAUCCUGCCGGACCUGACUGCUAUCUGAUUGGUACUAAGCCAUGCGAGUCGUUGUACAAUACAAGGCGGACUGCUCAGUAACACGUAGUUAACUUAACCUAUGGAUGGGAAUAACCUCGGGAAACUGAGAAUAAUACCCAAUGGGCCACAGUGCCUGGAAUGGCCUGUGGUUGAAAUGAUUUAUCGCCGUAGGAUAGGACUGCGGCCUAUCAGCUUGUUGGUGAGGUAAUGGCCCACCAAGGCUAUAACAGGUACGGGCUCUGAGAGGAGGGGCCCGGAGAUGGGUACUGAGACACGGACCCAGGCCCUAUGGGGCGCAGCAGGCGAGAAACCUUUGCAAUGUGCGAAAGCACGACAAGGUUAAUCCGAGUGUCUCCUGCUAAAGGAGUCUUUUGUCAGUUGUAGAAUCACUGGUGACUAAGGGGUGGGCAAGUUCUGGUGUCAGCCGCCGCGGUAAAACCAGCACCUCGAGUGGUCAGGAGGUUUAUUGGGCCUAAAGCAUCCGUAGCCGGUUGCAUAAGUUUUCGGUUAAAUCUAUGCGCUUAACGUAUAGGCCGNCGAAAAUACUGUGCAGUAGGGAGUGGGAGAGGUCACGGUACUCGAUA